rnacentral:piRNA from 1 species
UGGGAAACUAGUAGAGAGUUCAUCCUGGAA